rnacentral:piRNA from 1 species
GCUUAGGUCGGGGCUGUACGGCGGAUG